rnacentral:sRNA from 1 species
AUAAAAAUAUCUACAUAUACAUUUUUGCAACCAUUUUGUGAAAUAAAUCCUCAAGUUGAGACUUAUUUACAGUGGCUGCCACUAGCAUUUAAUAAUUGUUUUUGAUAAUUAGAAAGUAAAUCUUGGAAUUAAAUAUUUGACAUUUAACUAUCUUCCCAAAAUCUCUAUACAUUAACUACACGAUUAGUUACUAAAAUAAAACUUCCAAAAUAUUUAACAUCAUUUAAAAAUUACAAAAUUAUCAUUUUUGAUAUUGCUUUUUUGCAUAACUAUAACAAUUUGAUUAUAAGCAUCAAACCGUUGAGAUAUUUGAUACCAGUUAAUUACUACAAAAUUAGAAAAUAUUUAGACAAUAGUUCAUAAACAUAUCAUAAAUAAGAUCAACAUUAAUAAAAUAAAUAGAUUUUUUUACGUGACGGGUUGGCGGGACGAGUUUGGCAGGACGUUACUUAAUAACAAUUGUAAAUAAUAAAAUAAAAAUAUUUUAUAGAUAGAUAUAUCGCUGGUUAAAAUCUAGUUGAAAGUUAUUUUUACUUGGUUGUGUUUCAAUAACUUUAAAU